rnacentral:tRNA from 1 species
GAAGGUGUAGCUCAGUGGUAGAGCAUGUGCUUAAUGUGCACAAGGACCUGGGUUAAUUCCACAAUUCCA